UAUAUAUUAUUAUAGACUACAGGUGCCUCCUACUCGUGAUAUUUAAUAUUAAUAAUGUUGAAGUGUUGUUUAUAUGGAUGAAAUACAAUUUACUCAUUGCUAGGUUUCGUAUGCCGCUACACGUUACACAUUAUAUUAUACAGCAUAAACGAUUGUUGUCUGAAAUUUGUUCCGUUCCUUAUCAUCAGAACUAAAGCGUUGUUGCGCACGCUCUGACAAUCAUCAUUCGUAUCGUGAUAACGGUAUCGGCUCUACGUAAUCCGGUAAUCGUGCAAUACAAUAAUGUCUGGAAAGAACUAAAGACGAUUAUUUUUUAUUAGUUCGGUGGAGAUGUCAUAUUAUUAUUAUGUACCCAAGAGGAACACAACACUCGCAGUGAUUGUGCCGGACCGAGGUCGUACACCGUCACCGGAGUCGGAAGUCCGCUACAGUGGAUAGAUAGAGCUUAUGUAAAGUAGCGAUGUCCGCAUCCGACCAAUAUUAUUGUUGUAAUUUUGUCGGAGAACAACGUGUAACAGCUUCAGUACUGCGGCUUUUGUCGGUUUACGAAUAAUUGCUAUACAUUUUCCGUUCACAACACCGUCAAAAUAUUAUGUCGAAUCACGUUUUUAAGAAAAAAAGCAUUUUAACUCAAAUGUGGAUAAUGCCGCUGACUUAACCAUCAUAACUACUUAUUACAUGGAAAAAAGACAAGACACAAUAAUUUAUAUAUUAUUACAAUGAUUCAAAUGAUUCAAUCAUCUGCAUUCAUCGGAUACUUCGUUGGUGGUCAUUGCAGGUUUUUGUAAAAUUAAGUAGUUUAAAUUUCAUAUUUCAUCGAAGAAAAUAAUGGCAAUUUUACGAACUUAGAGGAAUUACGCUCAUUGAAUUUAUAUGAAUAUAUAAUAAUUUUGUAAUUCUGGUUA